rnacentral:lncRNA from 1 species
GGGCGGGGGGCGACCUCUCCCCCACCCCCGCUCUCGGAGAGAUUCGGUCAAUUGGAGGGAGCGGGCCGGGCCGGGCCGGGCCGGGGAGAAGGAGCACAGUUCUGGAGGCCGGUGGGGACCCUCGCCGCCGCCGCGCCCCUCCCGCUCCCCAGCGCCCUCGCGGCCCAGUGGCUCCUGCGAGUCGGAGGCGGCCGCGGAGACUGAGCGACCGCGGGGACCGCCACGGGCUGGGCGCGGGUUCUCGGGCUCAACACUGCCACUGUCUGACACAACAGGAGCAGUGUUGGGGGAGCUGCGCGAUGAGACGCAAGACGUGAUAGGCUCUCCAAACUGGGUGCGAUUUUUUUUUUUUUUUUAACCCUAGUAAUUACAUUUCACUUUCGGGGGUUAUUUGUUGUUGUUGUUGUUGUUAAGCGAUUUAUCUGCAUUCAGACGCUCGUGUGCGUUUGCUUCUUACUCAGGACAACUGGACACUGCUGAGGGGAAGGACAGAGGAACGCAUAUGGACAUCCACGUACAGCUCCCUAACAGGGUGCCGGCAAUGAGCCGGGCAGAGUGCCUCAGUGCUAACAAAAUGUGACUUUUUAAUCUCUCUGAGUGUCCGUAUUCGAGCUGCAGAAGGGGGCCUUCUCAGGGCACCUGAGGAAUGGAAGAGACCAGCUACCUUACAGGACAUCCUAGGACAGAUACAGGUUCAGCAUGGUCUGCAAAUGGUCUGCUUAGGAGCUUGAGGUAGAAUUCGGAUUUGGAGAGGAGUCCUGACUGUCACAUUUUACAGGACCCUUUGAGGACAUUUGGACAGAGUGGAGGGGCUUCCCCUUACUGCACAGGCGGGUUGGCUGCUGCUCAGCAUUCUGUCACAGAACCUCUUUGCUCUUGCAUCUUUCACAGGACUGUCGCACUGAAGGAGACCAAAGAGAAUGGAUUUGUGAAACCUAAACUCAAGCCCGUGGAGGACUCUGAUGGCCCGUGGGCCACUUCCUACAUCUCCAGUGGAGAAAGCACAGCGCCGAAAUCACAAGAUCUCAUCCACAAGCGUAUGGCUGACUGCUGUUCAUCUGAUCCAAAACAAAAGUCACUGUUUGAUUGCCUGAGAGCUAAGCCUUGA